UGGCGCAUUGCCUUGCUUAUGUGAAUAAAAUACCAGUCCAGACUGUCUUAUUCAUUUGAGAAUAGAGAAGUGAAGAAUUUGAGUGGCUUCUCUUCCAAUGAAGCCCUAGGAAUCUUAUCCUAGUGCCUUAAGCCUUUCUCCAUAAAUCUCUUCGACCUUAUCCAGAACACCAAGAAAGGAUGCCUCCUUCCUUACCAAGAUGGCUUUUUUCCUUUGACAUAUUCCCCACAAGCUGUACAGCCUUUUCUUGAGUAAUCAAUAAAUCCUCUUCCUCAUUUCUCGCUUAUUGUUUUAUUUUUGGCGCUGAGCUACUUGUAGGAUUUAGGGUUUGAUGAUCAUAUUGAUAUUUAGGGUUAUGAUUUUCUUAUCUUUUGUGUGUGUUUUAGUUUGACUUUGUUUCCACUAUAGCUUCUUUUGAACAUUGUGGUGUAGUAAGAUCGGAGAAGAAGAUUAAUUUGGGGGAUUCAGAUGGGGGGUCUCAUGGUCAGUGAUCUUGCUGACAUGCCUUGAGGAAAUCUUGAAGAAAUGGCAUUUAGUUGUUUUUGGACUCAAGAUGUGGAGAUCCAACUACUAUUUGAAGCAUUGUUUAUGCCAUUUGAUAGUAUAUACAUGAUAUUUAAACCAGAUGUCCAACUUUAAUUUACCAAAGAAUCAACAAGACAAUAUGCUAAGUGCAUAGUAAUACUUGGAGAUAAGGGAUAUAAGAAUUUGUCCCAAGUCUUACACACUUCUACCUAAUGGAAAUAACUCAUUGAAGCAAAGAAAUUUAGCUUUGAAAGACAAUCUACUAUCUUCAUAUAAUUUGUAGGAUAUAGUUUGUAAUAUGUUAUCUGAUUGUUGUCUACAGAUAUGUUAUCUACUUCAGUAUAAGACAACCUACUAUUUUUUUUUUUA